rnacentral:rRNA from 1 species
UGGGGAAUUUUCGUCAAUGGGGGAAGCCCUGAACGAGCAAUGCCGCGUGUGUGAAGAAGGUCUUCGGAUCGUAAAGCACUGUUGUAAGUGAAGAAUGCCACAUAGAGGAAAUGCUAUGUGGGUGACGGUAGCUUACCAGAAAGCCACGGCUAACUACGUGCCAGCAGCCGCGGUAAUACGUAGGUGGUAAGCGUUAUCCGGAAUCAUUGGGCGUAAAGGGUGCGUAGGUGGCACGAUAAGUCUGAAGUAAAAGGCAACAGCUCAACUGUUGUAUGCUUUGGAAACUGUCGAGCUAGAGUGCAGAAGAGGGCGAUGGAAUUCCAUGUGUAGCGGUAAAAUGCGUAGAUAUAUGGAGGAACACCAGUGGCGAAGGCGGUCGCCUGGUCUGUAACUGACACUGAUGCACGAAAGCGUGGGGAUCGAACAGGAUUAGAUACC